rnacentral:pre_miRNA from 1 species
AAUAAGUGCAGUCGUGGGAAUCUGUGUCCAAAGUUUGACCGUCCGUCUUAUUUGAAAAAUUUAUGAGAAAAUUAAAAAAAAGUUAGUCACACAUAAAGUACUAUUCAUGUUUUAUCAUCUAGUAACAAUAAAAAUAUUAAUCGUAAAAAAAUUUCAAAUAAGAUGAACGGUCAAACGUUAAACAUAAAUAGUGUAAAACUACACUUAUU